rnacentral:rRNA from 1 species
GAUGAACGCUAGCGGCAGGCUUAAUACAUGCAAGUCGAGGGGCAGCAUGAAUGUAGCAAUACAUUUGAUGGCGACCGGCAAACGGGUGCGGAACACGAACACAACCUUCCUAUAAGUGGGGAAUAGCCAGAGGAAUUUGGAUUAAUACCCCGUAACAUAAUGAUGUGGCAUCACAUUAUUAUUAUAGCUACGGCGCUUAUUGAUGGGUGUGCGGCUGAUUAGAUAGUUGGCGGGGUAACGGCCCACCAAGUCUACGAUCAGUAGCUGAUGUGAGAGCAUGAUCAGCCACACGGGCACUGGGACACGGGCCCGACUCCUACGGGAGGCAGCAGUAAGGAAUAUUGGUCAAUGGACGCAAGUCUGAACCAGCCAUGCCGCGUGAAGGAUUAAGGUCCUCUGGAUUGUAAACUUCUUUUAUCUGGGACGAAAAAAGGCUAUUCUUAGUCACUUGACGGUACCAGAUGAAUAAGCACCGGCUAACUCCGUGCCAGCCGCCGCGGUAA